ACCCCAAAUGCAAGUAGAGAAACGAACAACUUACAGAAAGGAAAGACGUCAUAGUUAUUAUGGAGUACCAGAUACAAAUCUUAUGCUUGUGAAUCAAGAUUUAGUUUCAAAACCCCAAACGCAAGUAAAGAAACAAGUAGCUUCUAGAGAGGAAAGACGCAAUACAUUUCCUCUUGAAAACGAGAGAAAUGAUACAGUAAGAGUUGAAACUCUACCUCCUGAGAAAAAAGCUUUAUUUUCAAGAAACCAAUCUCAAACUAAGAAAUUUGGAGCUACCAGAAAGAAUCUUGAUACUCCGAAAGCAGAAGACAUACUAGAUGAAAAUCUUUUACCCGACGAUGAAGUUGAAUUGUCAAAAAGCCAAUCUCAAACUAAGACGCUUAGAGCUGUCAAAAUGGAAACCCUAAAUAGUAAGUAUG
rnacentral:lncRNA from 1 species